CAAGAAUUAGUCUUCACAGAAAGAGGAGGACUCUUUUUACCUUAAGGCCUUCAGGAGCUCUACUAAGCCCAUAAUGGGUGGUAUCAAGCUCUGCCUUUUGCUGCUGCUGGGCACAUACACACUAGCCCAGCAAGAUAUGGGAAGUGUUGAUGAACAAUCCCCAGUUUGCUUAUUGGCCAAAAGAUUCAAAAACUUCCGGCGGUUUGUGUACAACUAUGAAGCUGAAACCUUUAACAGCGUGAAUGGCGCCACCGAAAAUAAGAGCGGCCCCAAAGUCUCCUGCAAAGUUGAGGUUGAAGUUCCCCAGACCUGUAGCUUCAUCCUCCGUACAACAGAGUGCUCACUGAGCGAGCUCAUUGGUAUGGACCCAGAAGGGAACCCAAUGUAUCGCCCUGCUGAGGGAGCUCUGGCUUUCACAGCUGCUAUGGCCAAGAACGCCUUGAAGAUCACAGUUGAAGGACAGACUUAUGUCAGCCUCUACCCUGAGGACGAUGAGCCCGUCAACAUCCUGAACAUCAAGAGGGGAAUCAUCUCUGCUCUCAUCGUGCCAGUAAUGGAAGAGGAGAAGAACAACAAAAUGUCCACCGUGCACGGAGUGUGCCCCACCGACUUCACCGUCAACGCCAGAGAGGACAUUGCCACCGAUGUGACUGUCAGCAGGGAUCUUUCCAACUGUAACUCUUUCGCUGCCCGCAGGCAGGUCACCAGUCCCAUGGCCCUCAUCACUGGCAUGAACUACCCUCUGUCCCAGAUGAUUGGCAGCACUCAGAUUUGCAACUACAAGUUUGACAACCAGAAGAAGCACAUGACCAGUGGAAUCUGCACAGAGAAACACAUCUUCCUGCCCCUCUCACACCAGAAUGAGUAUGGAAUUUCUACUCUGGUGAAACAAACUGUGACUCUGAGAGAGACCAGCAAGAUCAAUGACAGAAUCUUUGAUCGCAAUGAGCACAACCUCAAGGACUUGGCCAUGGAAGUUGCUGACGACAAGUCUCCGGUGCAGACCAAGGAUGCUGUCAUUGCCACCAUGCAGCAGCUGAACACCCUGUCAAAGACCACUCAGGGCGAGGACCGCGCCGGCCUCUUCAACAAGCUGGUGUCCGAGCUGCGCGGCCUGGAAGUUGAGGUUGUGGGAUCUGCUACUGUCGAAAUGAUGGACAUGUCCCAAUUUCUGACAUGGCAAUCUUUGACUCAGUGCGGCACCCCAGAAUGCACUAGCGCCAUGCUGAGGAUCCUCAGGACCUUUGACAAUGCUUCUCUUGAGGUUGAUGCUACUGUCUACGCCUUGGGAAUGCUGUCCAACCCCUCCCGCCUCAUGGUGAAGGACAUGCUGGAAAUGGCUCAGUACAAGCAGAGCAAAGCCAUCAUGUAUGCCCUGAGCAAUGCAGUCAGGAAACUGUACCAGGCUGAGGGCGUCACCCCUGAGAUCACUGCUGUCUCUGAGUUCAUGGCUUCGCUCCUGGGCGCGGACUGCGCUGGAGAGAAAGAUCUGACCUUCCUGACCUUGAGGGUUGUUGGUAACAUGGGGGAUGCAAUGGAGGUUGCUGACGCUGCUAUAAAGACCAUCCUGCUGAAGUGCAUGAGACAGCCUGCAACCACACUGUCUGUGCAGCUGGCUGCCAUCCAGGCUUUCAGACGUAUGUCUGUGACAGAUGAGGUUCGUUUGAACCUCCAGAGGGUCAGCCAGUACCCCAAGGGUGCUGUGCAAAAGCGCCUGGCAGCUUACCUGAUCCUGAUGAGGAAUCCCCAGGACAGUGACAUUGAGAUAGUGAAGAAGCUGCUUAACCAGGAGCAGAACAUGCAGAUCAAGUCCUUUGUGUCUUCCCAUGUCUACAAUAUAAUUUCCUCCACUGAUUCAGAGACCAAGAAACUUGGUCAGAAGAUAAUGGAUGCCCUGCAGGACACUGACGUCACCACACACAGCGACUACACCACAAAGUCUCGCAACUACAAGCUGGGCCUGGCACAGGACAGCAUGCAGGCGGUCGUCCAGGGCAACAUUGUCUUUGAUCCCAGUAGCCAAUUGCCAAGGGAGGUGUUGCUGGAAACUACAUUGGAAGUCUUUGGUUUCAACAUGGAUCUUUGGGAGAUUGGCAUGGAAGGAAGGGGCUUGGAGCCAACAAUUGAUGCUUUGUUUGGAAAGAAUGGGUUCUUCCCUGACACUUUGGCUAAGACUUUGUACUGGACUUUAGACAAGAUACCACCAAAGAUGAAAGAGCCCCUGAAUAAAUGGGUUCCUACCAUGGACACAGAAGGAAGAAAGAUUCCCGAAAAUCUUGUGAGAGAAAUUGUCCGCAACUUCAACAAGCUGGUGAAGGAUCUGCAGAGUCAAGAAUCCCCAGAGGCCACGGCCUACCUGAAGAUCAUGGGAGCAGAGCUUGGCUACAUCAAGGGCAACGAUCUGAAGUUUAUUGCUGAAAACGCAAUGAUGUAUGCAGAAAUUUUCAUGAAGAUUAUUCCUGAAAAGGUUGUGGCAAAUCUGAUGUCCAGCACUGAGAAUGAGAUCUUUGCCCAUUACAUCUUCAUGGACAACAAAUUCAUCAUGCCAACAGCAUCUGGCCUGCCUCUGACAUUUGCUUUGUCUGGUACCUUUGCUCCUGGAGCAAAGGGAGGCCUUCGCAUGGAUCCAAACAUGAAGGAGCUGCUGUUCUCACCCUCUAUUGGAGUUGAGUUUGUGACUAAGAUGGGAGUCCACGUCCCUGAAUUUGUUGUGUCCGCUGUUGAGAUGCACACCAACAUGUACCACGAGAGCACACUCAAUGCCAAGAUCACCAUGGAGCAGAACCAGGUCAAGCUUUCCAUACCCGCCCCACAGGGCACCACCAAAUUCCUGAGCAUCAGCAAUAAAGUGCUGAUUGUGGGUGCUGGACACGCUACAUUGAUCCCACACACAGAGGGUGAAUCAAGCUGCAAACCCCUCUUCUCUGGAGUCAAAUACUGCAUCAAAACACUCCAUGCCAGCACUGGAGAUAAAACUGCUGUGCCUUACUUCCCCUUGAAUGGAGAGACUAAGUUUGCUGUGGACAUCAAGCCUUCUAAAGAGGUGUCCGAGUACACAGCCACCAUCACCUACAAACUCCUCAGCGAAGGAAAGGACGGCAACCAGAAGGUUGAUUCUUUGAAGAUGGCUCUGAGAGCUGAGGGUUCUCAGCCGACCGAGGCUACCGCCACCAUGAAGUACAACAGGAACAGGAAUGUCUUCACCACCCAAAUUCAGGUACCUGACUUUGAUGUUGAGGCCGGCGUUAAGAUUGCCAUGACCGACAGCAGUGCCAAAGGCAAAUCCAUGACCCUCGAGAUCUCCAACAAGAACGUGCCCCAGCUCUCUCUGAUUGGCCGUGCCAAGCUUCAGACCAUGACCAAUGGCAUGCUGCAGGUUCAGCUGUUAGUCCCCUCACUCAAGACUGAUGCCGCCAUCACUGCCACCAUGAGCAAUGCUGAUGGACUCACAAUGGAGAUCAAAAGUGAUGUCAAGCUCCCAGAGACCUCCUCCAUUCAGGCAGUCACAUUCAAAUAUGGUGAAGACCAGGCUGAGAUUCAGCUGAAGUCCAACAUGAAUGCUGAUACUAAGAUCCUGGUGCCUUACACUGAAGCCCUUCAGGCCUGGCUGAGGCAGUUGGCGGAUGAUGUCAUGGACCAGCAGGUUGUAAAGACAGACAUGAAACUGCGUCAUGUCCUCAACAAGGCAGUUGAGGCCAGUGAUAUCUGGAUGGACAAAAUCUCAGCUGAUGUUCCCUAUGUUGAGACUCUGAGGAACAGAAUUGCAAGUGUGGAAAUGCCCUCCGUGCCUGAAAAUCUAUUCAUGAACCUGGAUAGCACAUUCAAAUACCAGUUCAACAAGGACCGUAUGGCCAUCACUGUCCCUCUACCUCUUGGAGGCAAAUCAUCUGAGGAGCUAAGGAUACCUCCAAUGGUCAACUCCCCGAGCAUCUCAAUGCCUCAGCUGGGCAUGGAGUUUGCCUCACAAGAGAUCCAAAUCCCCACUUUUACCAUCCCCUCUGAAUAUGAUCUCACCCUGCCUCUGAUGGGAAUGGUGGAGGCAUCUGCCAAGGUCACCAGCAACUAUUAUAACUUGGAGGCAACUGUGUCUGCUGGUAACAACACUGCAGAGUCUCCUAGCUACAUGGCCAAGUUCAGCGUCAUGGCUGACAGUCCAAUCAAACUUCUCUCCUUCUCAACUGAGGGAGCUACAGCAAUCACAGACACAGCAGAGAAGACAAUGAAAUUCACCAUUGAUGGUUCCCUGAACCAUAUUCUAAUGAACACAGGUUUUAAUGUGUUGGAAACCAUUGCUGUCACAGACAAUGUAAUGUCAACAGGAAGGUAUAACAUCUAUGCUGUCGCCCCUGUUGGCCUGGAGACAUCGCUGACUAUUACCACCCAGGUCACCCUAGAUUCAAACAUGCUCUCCGGAGAUAUCAACACAGACGGAAGUGUGUCUGUUGGAUCCAUGACUGCUAGCACCACUUAUCUCCACACCUUCUCUGUUGAGCCAGCAAAGAAAGAAGCUAAACUGGAGAGUACACUGAGGGUGAACUCUGAAAUCCUGAAGGUUGCCAACAAGAUCAAAGCAUCAUAUGAAAAUGAGGAACUCAUGAUUGAGUCUAACACAAACAUUAACACUAACCCCAUCAAGCACACCACCAAAAUGAGCCUUAGCUAUAAAGAAGUCAAGCUUACCAUCCAGUCUGACUCUGUGACCAAGGCUGAUGAGCGAAUGGUUCGUAGCCAAAUGGAGUUCUCUGCCUCUGACGGACAGGCCAGCCUCAGGAUAGAGAAUCAAGCUGAUGAUACAGUGAACCGUGCCUACUCUUUGUUAACUGGGUCCAUGAACCCCUCCGGCUUGGAGAUCAAUGCUGAUGCUUCUUUGAACCUCUUCUCAAGCCUGGCCUCUUACAAGGCAACCUUGGCCCUGAACACGAAUGGCCUGACCACCAGCUGUACAACAACUGCUCAGCACAGCCCAAUGACCUUUGAGAAUGUUUUCCACGGUGGAGUUGACACCUCUGGUGCCACCGUCUCACUCACCACUAAGGGAGCCAUUCAAGAGAACAAAGCUGAACUCAAUGUUGAGGGAAAGAUUGCAAGCACGGACGUGUAUCUCAACGGCAUCCUUAAGGGUAACCUCUUUGACAUCAACACCAUGAACAGAGUGAACCUCAGACUGAAUGAAGAUGGCUUGAUCCUCUCCAACAACAUAGUUGGAUCUUUCAACGAGAUGAGGACCGAAAAUACCAACUCACUGUCUCUUACACUGAGAUCUUUCGUGCUCCGCUCCAAGACUGACAACGUCCUUGACAAGAGGAACUCCUACAUGCAUGACAUCGCAGUUAACAUGGAGCGUUUUACUGCCUCAGUUAAUGUGAAGAAUGACCUGAAGAUCAUGGAGAUUAACUUUGUGAAUGAUGCCCAGUUCAAGGCAGAGCCCUACAACAUGGAGCUGACUGGAACAAUGAUGGGAGUCUUUUCAGAGAAAGAGCUCAAGCAUACUUAUGAAGUCAAGUUUGUUGAUAUGGUCUUUUCUGCAAAGUGCAAUACCAAUGGUAAACUCCUGGGCGCUCAAAUAACACAUACCACUGAUAUGGAGGUUGCUGGUCUGACCAUGAAAUUUAACAAUGUGGCUAACUACAACUCACCAUCUAUUCGUGUGGACAGUACAGUCACAACUGUUGCUGCACCCUUCUCUCUGAACAUUGAUGCCAUGCUCAACUCCAAUUUUGCAUUUUAUCUCUAUGGGGCGCAGAGUGGCGAACAAUACAGCAAAUUCCUCCUUAAGGCAGAACCCCUGCUGUUGACACAUUCAUUUGAGUACAGAGCCUCAACCACCCAUAAACUGGACAACGAAUACACUCUCAACACCAACAUGGACAACAAGUUCAACAGCAUGCUGAGCCUCCAUGAGCAAAGUGUCACAAUGAAGAUGGCAUCCCAAGUAAACGAGCACACUUUUGACCAAGUGAUGAAUGCCUAUAACAAUGCAGAGAGAAUGGGUAUUGAGAUGUCAGGAGCUGUUUCAACUCCUCUCUUAAGUGAGGUCACAGAAGAUUAUGCCAUCUCUGCAUUUGUGAAAUAUGACAAGAACAGUGACAGCCACUUUGUCCAGAUCCCAUUCAUUGAGCAUCUGCCUGCAGUUAUUGAAAACAUGAAGACCACAAUGAUGAGGCUGAUGGACCAAAGCAUUGAGAUGCUUAAAGACAUCAACACCAAAUAUGAGAUCAGUGCCAAAUUGCAGAACAAAUUGUUAGAACUGAAGGAGGUUAUUGAUAGCUUUGACUUCAACCUCUUUAUCGAAGAUCUGAGAAAGUUUAUCAACUCUAUGGAAAAUGUCAUGACCAACCUGACAGCAAAGUUCCCAACUGACAAAGUCAUGAAUGUGCUGCAUUCAAUGAAGGAGGCUAUUAUGGCUUGGAUCAAGAAGCAUAACAUUGCUAACAACUUCAAUAUUAUGUAUGCCAAAAUAGAGGAGAUCCUCUCCAGCUAUGAGGUUGAGAAGAUAAUUGGGGCCAUCAUGGACGAGGUUGUUAAAAUUAUGAAACAGUAUCAGGUGAGGGAAAAGAUGCAGUCUGCUUUUGCUGCUCUCAAGUCAAUUGACAUCGAGCCUUUGCUCAAAAGAGUUAUGGCACCUGUUCAGGAGCUUGUGAAUGAGCUGUAUUCCUUUAACUUCAAACAGCUGAUUGAUGACAUGAGUGACUAUUUCAUGAGGAUGGUCCAGAAAUUCCAAUCUUUUGAUUAUGACACAUUCACUAUGGAAUUGAAAGAGAAAGUUGCAGAUAUGAGCAAGAUUCCCUGUUUUGGAAAACUCUAUGGAGAGUUCAGAGUUACCUCCCCUCACUACACACUCAGGACCAAUGGUGACCUCGAGAAUAUCACAACUACUUCAGUCACACCAGAGUUUAAAAUCAACCUUUACUCAAAGGCUUCGUCUACUUUGAAAAUUCUUGACUUCACAGUGGAUGCCAGUGCUCAAGUUGCUGCGCCCAAGAUGAGUCGCCUGUCCAUCUCUGAGAACAUCAAAGUUGACCAGUCAUGUUUCACACUUGACCACAAGGGAACAGUGACUCUCUAUGGCUUGUCAGCUCAAGCUUCUGCUGAAACUACUGCAAAGGCUAACACUGAGUUAUAUGUUGCCGAGCUUGUCAACAAUGUAUUCUUUGCCCUUGAAAAUGGAGUUUCUGCCACUGUGGAGACUAGCUACAAACAUGAUCUCAAUAUGCCAUCCCCCAACAUCUUCAGCGAAACAUCAGUCAAUCAAAAGAACGUCCUCCAGCUUGAUGCUGGCACUGCCACUCUGACCAUUACCAAUCUGGCCAAUGGAAAGUAUGCAGUUCAGGACUUUUCGGAUGAAGCAACCCACAAGAGUGACAUGGAGGUGGUGAUGGAUCUCCACACAACCAAACUGACUUUCACUGGAGCAACAGGCAGCAGCCACUUGAAAAUGAAUCAAAAUGUGGUCGCCGAUAUCUGCAUUUACCGCCAUGUAAUUAUUGAUGCCAAGUUUGAGACAGAAACACCUUUCAUGAAGGGCAGUGUUGCAGAAGUCAAAUUCCAGGCUAAUGCCGCAGACCUGAAAAUUGAUUUCACUGCCUCUCACAGUGCAGAGCUGGCUGGACAGGUUGAGGGAACUCUCUCAAACUCUGCACUUGCUUUGGUCACACCUAGUGGGCUUAUGUUUGACACCAAGAACAAGGGAAAUGUCAAGGUUGCCCUUCCAUUCAAGCUGUCUGGAAAGAUGGAUCUCCAGAAUGACAUCUCUUUGACCGUUAACUCUGAAGUGCAGCAGGCUAGUUGGACAGGUCUGGCUAGAUUCAACCAGUACAAAUAUUCCCAUUACUUCACCAUGGAUAAUGGUGACGGAGAAAUUAACAUACUUUCCCAGAUCAAUGGAGAAGCUAAUCUGGAUGUACUGAAGGAGCCUAUCACCAUUCCUGAAAUAACUGUGCCAUUUGUUGGCAUGAUGACACCAAGAGUGGAAGACUACUCUCUGUGGGAAGACACUGGCCUGAGCAAUCUCUUGAUCACAACUCAGCAGACAUUUGACAUGAACUCCAAGCUGAAGUACAUGAAGAGCCCUGAGAUGAACACCAUUGACAUUAAUGUAGAUCCAAUCAUCGAUUUAUUUAAUAACAAUGUCAAAACUCUGCAAAAGAAAAUGCUCAUUGGUAAGAAUAAGGCUGCCGCCAUCCUGGUUACAUCUUAUGACCAAGCAAAGGCAGAGUAUGAAAAGUAUAGCAUUGAGCUUCCCAAAACCAUUACAGUCCCUUCCUACAAAGUUCCAGUGAUUAAUGUUGAGGUGUCCACAUUCACCAUUCCCCUGCCCGACAUCAGUCUCAUCACAACACCUGCUCUGCAUGUUCCAUCUGCCCUCAGCAAGUUGACUCUUCCAAAAAUCACUCUACCCAAAAUUAAAAGCAUCAGUAUUCCAGUACUGGGUGAUCUGACCUACGAGUUCUCCAUGAAAACCGCAAUGGUCACACUCAAAACUGAUGCUAGCAUGCUAAACCAGGACAGCAUCAUCAUCAAACUUGGUGCUUCCUCAACCUCUGAAUUUGAGGUUCUGACUGGAAAGAUUGAGGGCAACACCAACGUAAACACGGUCGGCGGAUUUAAAAUGGUCUCUGUCCUGUCUGUGAAACAUCCAAUGCUUGAGGGAAACCAUGACAGCACCAUCACUUUAAGCUAUGAAGAUGUCCAUACCACCUUCACCAAUUCAGCCAAGGUCAAUCUCCCUGUCCUGAAUAUGGAAAUCUAUCAAGAGAUUACUGGAAAUCCAAAGGAAGGCCUUGUUGUUUCUAUAUCCACUCCAUCUGCAGGACUCGUUGCACUUCAAAUGCAGACUAAGCGCCCAGCACAAGUGAAAGCAAGAUUCUAUGGUCGCUACCCGUCUGAGCCAACAACCGACAUUGAUAUCUUGGCUCUGAAGCUGUCUGUGAUGAACUCUGAGAAGCUGAACCUUCAGACAACCUGGAACAUGGAGAUGCCAUAUGAGAUGAUGCUGGGACUGAAGAAACAGGUGCCCACAGUCAUGGAAAUGGUGUCUGAUCCUGCUGUCAGGACAUACAACACAAUCUCCAGACAUGCUAGUAGCCUUGAGGGUUCUUUUGAGCAGGCUAGAGAGCAGGGUAAAGUGAUGUUCAAGAGGGCUGUUGACAACUUUGCAGCAGUAAGUCCUUCUAAUUUUAUGACAACUGUCACAGAGAAGACCAUUUUGAUCCUCAAAGAGUACCAAAAGAAAGUUGGAAUUGUCCUGGAUGCUGUUGUUAAAUUCUUGAGAGAGACCCAGUUCCAGAUUCCUGGUUAUGGAAAGAGGCUGUCUGGGCUUGAGAUCUACCAGAAAUAUACCGCUUUUGUUGCCGAUGUAUCUGAAGAGGCUGUUCAAAAAGUUCCAGAGUACUUUGCCUACAUGUUUACAGCAGUCCUUGAUUAUUGCCGAGCCAUUGAGUUCACCCUUCCUGGCUCGAACUACGUUGUCAGCGGAAGUGAAAUUCUUGAUGACUUGUUUGUGGCUUUGAGGAAAAUUCAGGACCAAGUGGUUGUGAUUGUUAGGAAACUGGGGGAAAUCCAGCUGGAAGAUGUCAUUAAUAAAUUAUCUGCAUUUGUGCAGUUUACCACUGAGCAAAGCGAGAAGUUUCUCCAAACCCUUAAAUCUCAGAACGUAGAGAAGCUCUCCACCUUUGUGACCGAUGUAUACAAUGAUGCCAUCAACUCUCGUGUCCUGGCUGAUGUUGCCAAUCAGGUUGAAAAGGCACGCAAAAUUGUUGUAGAAUAUUUCACAGCCGUUAAAGCUAAACUCCAGAAUAUUUUUGCCGAAAUGUCAUUUGAACAACUUCAAGCUGACAUCCAGUCCUGGAUUGACUUAUUGGUAAAACGUAUGAAUGCUUUCCACAACAAUGUCAUGCAGACACUUAAGGAGAAAAGCAAAAUUAUUGAACCAUUUGUGAGAGUAGAUGACAGACACAUGGAGGUUAACAUUCCUUUUCCAUUUGUUGUCAAAUCCAACUAUCUCGAAUACCUCCCAGAUCCCCUCCUUGGUUUUGGCAGAGCACUCCAAAUAGUCAUAUGCGCCAAUGCGCGUGGCCAUGGCCCGGCCGUCCUCUGCUCUCACCGGCUCCAGUUUCAACCGGGACAGCUCGUUCUUUACGUUCUCGUCGUUGCGCAGGUCUUUCUUGUUGGCCACUAAUAUAAUGGGCACAUUGGGGCAGAAAUGUUUGACUUCGGGGACCCACUUUUCGGGGAUGUUUUCCAACGAGUCCGGGCUGUCCACGGAGAAGCACAUCAGAAUGACAUCGGUGUCCGGGUAGGAGAGGGGCCGCAGCCGGUCGUAGUCCUCCUGCCCUGCGGUGUCCCACAAAGCCAGCUGGACCUGCUUGUUUUCCACCUCUAUGUCCGCCACGUAUGUCUCAAACACAGUCGGAACAUACACCUCGGGGAACUCGUCUUUGCUGAAUACGAUCAACAGACAUGUUUUCCCACAUGCGCCGUCCCCCACCGCGACUAGUUUCUUCCGUAUGUCUGCCAUUACUGCCUGUUUUUCCCCCCUUACCUCUCGCCUAAAUCCGGCAUCAAAAACACGGAUCCUCUGGGGCCGUUCACUCCCUCUGUUCUCUAAACCCUGAAUGAGACUCGUCCCGUCGGCCGCUCCCGUCUACCAACACCGGAACAUUUACCAGUAACCACCGCAGUGUCUUUAUAAAGCAUAGGGUGGUUUCCUAAAUUUAGCAAUCCAAUCGGAAAUAGGGAGUUCACGCUAUUUACAGGGAGGGGGCACUAGCGUAGGCAAACUCUUAGCAUUGACUAUCAAGCGAGCCUUGCUAAAUCACCGCUCUCUCCUAGGAAACAAAACAAUAUAGACUCGGGUCGACGGCGUGCAGCGAGCAUCGACCCUCUCUGCAAAGACAACGCGUGAGCUUUCCCGUGGAAUGAGCGUUCCAUGCAGCAUCCUAGGUAUGAAUGACGUGGCCUGGCAGGAGACAAGAGUUGGGAUGCUGCAUGCAAAUGGUGCUCCUGAGACUGGAGGUGUCAGAGUUCACGUUGGGGUAGCUGGACAGGCGUCUGGAGUUCCACAUUUACAAGGCAUGGACAGGGUUGUCAACCCUACCACCCCGGGUACCCCGCAGCCUCCGCUGAGUGGACGAUCUCAGGAUGAUGCCACAGUUGGAUACUUCUUUCAGAGGCAACCCGGAGAGCAACUUGGAGGUUGCACACCCAGCAAACAUCGCUGGCCGACUGGUGAUGCCAAUCAUGUUGAUCAGGUCCGUGCUAGUGAUGAAAUGAACUAUGACUUUCAAGCUCUUGCUUUGGAGUCAAGGGGCAUGGGAGAGCUUCUGCCAGCAAAAAAACUCUGGGAUUCUGAUGAGCUGGCCAAGGAUGGAAGGAAAGGCAUGCUGCUUGGAGAGGAGUGGAGGGACAAUGCAUGGGGAUCGUCUCAUCAUUCAGUGUCUCAGCCAAUCAUGGUGCAGCGGCGACCAGGCCAGAGUUUCCAUGGGAAUGGUGAUGCCAAUUCUGUGCUUUCACCUCGCUCAGAAGGUGGAGGUCUUGGGGUGAGCAUGGUGGAGUACGUCCUGAGCUCUUCUCCUGGUGACAAGAUGGAUGGUCGCUACAGGAACGGUGGCUAUGGUGGAGGAGAUGUUGACCAAGAUGGGAGAGAAAAGAUUGAUGUCCAAGAGAAAGUCUCCCCCUUUGAAGAGGACAAGAGCCCAGAGAUGAAGGUUGGAGAUGAGAAUGAUCCUGCUAAGGCCAACGGAAGAGGUCUUCUCAACGGCAUGGACAGGGAAUGCAAAGACUUCAAUCCAACCCCUGGAAGUCGCCAAGCUUCCCCCACUGAGGCUGUGGAGAGAAUGGGUCCCAGUCAGUCUGGUUUGGAGAUGAUGGGACAGCACCACCCACAUGCCUUCCAACAGCACAACCCUGCCCAAAACAAGGCACCCGAGGACUUCCAGAGCCAGGAGGCCCAGAACAUGGGAGGUAUGGAGCAACAAGCCGGUGUGGAGUCCCUCCAGUUUGACUAUGCUGGUAACCAGAUUCAGGUGGACUCUUCAGGGACUCCAGUAGGAUUGUUUGACUACAACUCACAGCAGCAGUUGUUCCAGAGAUCUAAUGCCCUGACUGUACAACAGCUAACUGCAGCUCAGCAACAACAAUAUGCCCUGGCUGCAGCCCAGCAGCAGCAUCUCGCUGGCCUUGCUCCUGCCUUUGUGCCAAACCCUUACAUCAUUAAUGCUGGCCCCCCUGGAACGGAUCCCUACACUGCCGCUGGGCUGGCAGCAGCAGCAUCGCUUGCAGGUCCCACAGUGGUUCCACCACAGUACUAUGGCGUUCCUUGGGGUGUGUACCCGGCCAACCUUUUCCAGCAACAGGCUGCAUCAAAUGCCAAUCACUCAGCUAAUCAGCAAGCAUCCAAUCAGGGACCAGGCCAACAACAGGUGAUGCGCCAAGGAAACAACCAGCGACCUCUUACACCUGGGCAAGGCCAACAGAGUCAGCAGGAAUCUUUGGCUGCAGCAGCAGCUGCAAACCCUGCGUUGGCAUACGCAGGAAUGUCUGGUUAUCAGGUUUUGGCCCCUGCAGCCUAUUAUGACCAGAAUGGGGCCUUGGUGAUGGGCCCUGGUGCCCGAGCUGGUCUAGGUGGACCAGUUCGUCUAGUCCAGACCCCUCUUCUCAUCAACCCUGCAGCAGCGCAGGCUGCUGCGGUGUCAGCAUCUGGCUCCGGCAACAACAUGUCUGGUCCUCCAGGCCAAGGUCUAUACCGCUCCAUGCCUCAACCUCAACAGCAGCAGCAGCAGCAGCAGGCUCCCCCACCCAGCAGCGGCCUGCCCUCCAGCUCAUUUUAUGGCUCUGGAUCGGUCCCCAACACUUCUCAGAGCAGCUCCCUUUUCUCACACACCUCUGCUGCGCCUCCACCACAGAGCUCCUCCCUGGGCUUCAGCAGUACCGGUGGAUCCCUCGGCGUUGGCCUGGGCUCUGCUCUUGGAGGCUUCGGCUCUUCUGUGUCUAGCUCUACCAGUAGCAGUGUAUCUCGCAGGGACUCCUUGCUGGCAAGUUCUGAUCUUUACAAACGUGGUGGCAGCAGUUUGACUCCCAUCGGCCAGCCCUUUUACAACAGCCUGGGUUACUCCUCUUCACCCAGCCCCAUUGGCCUCACACCAGGUCACUCUCCACUCACUCCUCCACCUUCUCUGCCCUCUUCUCAUGGAUCCUCUACUAGCCUUCACCUAGGUGGCCUGACGAAUGGCAGCGGGCGUUACAUUUCUGCCGCGCCUGGAGCCGAGGCCAAGUACCGGAGCACCGGGGGGACGUCCAGUCUUUUCAAUUCCACUAGCCAGCUGUUCCCGCCGUCUCGACCUCGCUACAGUCGUUCUGAUGUCAUGCCGUCUGGACGCAGCCGCCUACUGGAAGACUUUAGGAACAACCGCUUCCCAAACCUCCAACUCCGUGACCUGCCCGGCCACAUGGUGGAGUUCUCUCAAGACCAGCAUGGAUCCAGAUUUAUCCAGCAGAAGCUAGAGAGGGCCACUCCCGCUGAGAGGCAGAUGGUGUUUGGAGAGAUUCUGCAAGCAGCAUACCAACUGAUGACUGAUGUAUUUGGGAACUAUGUUAUCCAAAAGUUCUUUGAGUUUGGAAGUGCAGACCAGAAGCUGGCUUUGGCAACACGUAUCCGAGGACACGUCCUUCCCCUGGCUUUGCAGAUGUAUGGAUGCAGGGUCAUUCAGAAAGCCCUGGAGUCCAUUUCCUCAGACCAGCAGGUAAUUAGCGACAUUGUCCGUGAGCUGGAUGGCCACGUGUUGAAGUGUGUCAAGGACCAGAAUGGCAACCAUGUGGUGCAGAAGUGUAUCGAGUGUGUCCAGCCUCAGGCCCUACAGUUCAUCAUUGAUGCCUUCCAAGGACAGGUGUUUGUGCUCUCCACACACCCCUAUGGCUGCAGAGUUAUCCAAAGGAUUUUGGAGCACUGCACCCAGGAGCAGACUCUGCCCAUCCUGGAAGAGCUGCAUCAACACUCUGAACAGCUGGGCCAGAAAUAUCAAGGCGUAUCAUUGGAGAUGACACCCAAAACAUAUUAUACAGUGUCCCGCGAUGCACUGUUCAAGGAUCAGUAUGGUAACUACGUCAUUCAGCAUGUUUUGGAGCACGGCAGACCAGAAGAUAAGAGCAAGAUAGUCGCAGAGGUUCGAGGAAAGGUUCUUGUCCUCAGUCAACACAAAUUUGCAAGUAAUGUCGUGGAGAAGUGUGUGAUCCACUCUUCGCGUGCAGAGAGGGCUCUGCUGAUAGAUGAAGUGUGCUGCCAGAAGGACGGGCCCCACAGCGCCCUGUACACCAUGAUGAAGGACCAGUACGCCAACUAUGUGGUUCAAAGAAUGAUUGACAUGGCAGAACCUGCUCAGCGCAAAAUCAUCAUGCACAAGAUCCGUCCUCACAUUGCCACUUUACGUAAGUACACCUACGGGAAGCACAUUCUGGCCAAGCUGGAAAAGUACUACAUGAAGAGCGGAUCUGAACUGGGUCCCAUCGGUGGCCCCACGAACGGCCUCAUGUAGUCACGUCGAAAUCCUGGGUCCCCUGAAGAAGUGGAGGAGUAGGAGCCCCAAACCCCCCUGUUCUGUGAGAGAUGCUCCUUAGCCAUAGGGGUUAGCCUUUGACACCCUCUGUUAUCCCAUUUUGAGGGAAUUACCAAAAAAAAGACAAGUCAACUUCACCUAAGAACGCUGUGACAACUGACCCCUGCCACUCUGCCACCCCUGGUGCAGGUCCCCAGUGUGGCCCCCAGGGGACGCACAGUCAGCAGGCAGAUUUUACUUUACCUAUUUUGUUUUUCCCUGGGUAAAGCACAAGCCCAUUGUUAAUGAUGUAAUUGAUGUAUUUGACUGGUUUUCAUAUUCUCUUGUACAUUUAGUUUUUUACCUUGUAAAUUCUCUGUAGAAAAAAAAACAAUUAUACGCAUUUGCUGAAAUUUCCAAUUCCUACAAUUAACACCAGCAAGUGAUUUUAUAAGGCUAAACUGAGUGAUCCUUUAAAAAAAAAACAAUUCCACUUGUUUUUGUAACCAGACUUAUUAUGUCAGCUGUUCUAAUCAAGUCUAGGCAAAUUGAAAAUAGUUUUUGUAUAUUACCCCAUGCACAGUAAAAGUGUUUCCCAUGCCAAAGCAGCUGAUGGAUUAGUUUUUAAAUAGCACUACAUAGUAUGGAUGGAUAUAAACCCCUCCGUCCACAGGUGAGUACUAUGUGUCCUGUGCCACAGUCACCCAGAGGUCUUCAAGACCAGUUUGCGAGCUUGGCUUCGGGAUUGGUGCUUUAGUCUAGGGUGGUGUUUUUUCCAGUGGUGGCUUAUUCUUUUUAAGGCUGAUUGGGGGAGGCGUGUGUUUACCCAAGCGGGGUUUUGUUCUGCCUGAUGUAAUUUUCUGAACAGUUUCGGUACUAAAUAUAACAGACUGACCAACCUGAGCUGCUGCAUCCACUGAGCCCCAUUCGACACGUCUGUCCCUCAUCCAGGUGAUCACUCGGGGUUUAUGCAAAAUAAAUAGCUACCAUUAACUUAUAGAAGCAGAGCAUGAGGUUUGGUUGUACAGCGGGCGUGUAACCUGGUAUAAUCUUAACAUGAAAUGACUGUAGUGGGGGGGCUUUUUUGUGGGUAUAGUGGGGUGGGACUGGGGUAUGUGUUGGCAUGCUGUGACAGGUUUUAAUCCUUGGAAUGAUUUUUUUCCUUUAUCAUGUUUUGUGUAACAUCUUAUCUGUCUUGUACUUUGAGAUGAACACUGCCCUAGAAACGGUAUCUUUAUGUACUGAAUAAUCAUCUCUUGCGUAGAAGUAGUUUAACGAUGUAUAGCAUCUUUAUGUAUGUGUAAAUUGUUGCUUUUGGGUAGGGGCUUGCAGCGACGAUGGGACCCCCACCGCCUGAAGGAGUAGUCCAAAAAAAAUGUUGUGAAGUGGAGCUUAUCCCAGCUUUGUAUAUCUGAGGUGAAAUUAACUAGAAGUAGUGGGAUAAGUUGAAGAAAGGGAUGCCGAAAGAACCUUUUUUUUUCUUUCUUUUUUUUUUUUUUAAAUGGUUCUGUUUUUGUUUUUUAAACUUCUUUUUUUUUCCAUUUGGUUGGGUAUGCAAGUGCAUUGGUGGAGGCCGGUGGGGCCAUCGAAAGCUAUACAAUUCACCUGUAAUGCUCGUAGUGAUGGCUUCAUAUGAAUACUUGUAGAAUACAUGUAGUAUAUGUGCAGUUAAUAAGUGUAAGAUUAUUAGUUUAAUUGAAAAAAAAAAAAUGUCUAGUUGUGGUGUUUUUGACAGGCCUUGCUCUAAAUUUGUAGUGAUGCUUUUAUUUCGUCUGUACAGUUGUACAUUUGUAAACGUUUAUGCUGUAAAUGGGAUGUCUUUUACACUUUUUGGGGAGAAAAAGGCAAAAAUGUGCAUUUUGAUGUGUGUAUAUUCAUCACUCCUUUCCCCUUGAAUAUAAUGUAUACAGUUUUAUUUGAUCAAGUGUUAUUUUAAAGGAAAAAAAAAACUUUAUGGCUUCACAAUCUGGCAUGUUUUUUGUUUUUAAUCUGUUAUGGGAAAGGCCAGCCUCUAUUUGUACCGGAGCUGUAACAUCCACUGUUGAUAGUCUUUCUGAAGUGUGACAGUUUAAAAAGAAGAAGAAAAAAAACACUCUGUACUAAAACUGAGGCUGCAUUUAGUCCUCUCUGAUACCACGGAAACUUCACAGGACAUGACAAGAAUUAUUUUUGUACAGAAGAGUGCUGUAUUUUGGAACAGCUUCUACCUUGUAAGCAAAAGCAAUGUAAAAUAUUGUCAAUUAUAUAAAUAUGAACAUAUGAGUUUUGUCACACUGUCAAAGUCAUGUACAUUUUCAGGUGGCCUUAUGUACAUUUCCAGAUGUUAGAUGAAGAAAACAAACUCAUUUUUGGAAGCAGAAUUGUGACUAUGUAUUAUUAAACUGUUCUUCUAACAUUUGACCAGCAUUGUUG